rnacentral:tRNA from 1 species
AUUUGAAUAGUUUAUAUAAAAUAUAGCUUUGUGGAUGCUAAGAAGAAAAACUCUUCAAAUU